rnacentral:rRNA from 1 species
GACGAACGCUGGCGGCGUGCUUAACACAUGCAAGUCGAACGGAAAGGCCCUGCUUUUGUGGGGUGCUCGAGUGGCGAACGGGUGAGUAACACGUGAGUAACCUGCCCUUGACUUUGGGAUAACUUCAGGAAACUGGGGCUAAUACCGGAUAGGAGCUCCUGCUGCAUGGUGGGGGUUGGAAAGUUUCGGCGGUUGGGGAUGGACUCGCGGCUUAUCAGCUUGUUGGUGGGGUAGUGGCUUACCAAGGCUUUGACGGGUAGCCGGCCUGAGAGGGUGACCGGCACAAUGGGACUGGGGUUCGGGCCAGGCCUCUACCGGGGGCAAGAGGGGGGGAUUAUUGACCAAUGGCCGGAGGCCUAAUGAAGCAACGCGGGGUGCGGGAGACCGGCUUUGGGGUGGUAACCCGCUUUCGCCUGUGACGAAGCGUGGGGGAGGGUAAUGGGAAAGAAGCACCGGCUAACUACGUG